ACGGAAGGCAGCAGUAGGGAAUCUUCGGCAAUGGACGAAAGUCUGACCGAGCAACGCCGCGUGAGUGAAGAAGGUUUUCGGAUCGUAAAACUCUGUUGGUAGAGAAGAACGUUGGUGAGAGUGGAAAGCUCAUCAAGUGACGGUAACUACCCAGAAAGGGACGGCUAACUACGUGCCAGCAGCCGCGGUAAUACGUAGGUCCCGAGCGUUGUCCGGAUUUAUUGGGCGUAAAGCGAGCGCAGGUGGUUUAUUAAGUCUGGUGUAAAAGGCAGUGGCUCAACCAUUGUAUGCAUUGGAAACUGGUAGACUUGAGUGCAGGAGAGGAGAGUGGAAUUCCAUGUGUAGCGGUGAAAUGCGUAGAUAUAUGGAGGAACACCGGUGGCGAAAGCGGCUCUCUGGCCUGUAACUGACACUGAGGCUCGAAAGCGUGGGGAGCAAACAGGAUUAGAUACCCUGGUA
rnacentral:rRNA from 1 species